rnacentral:rRNA from 1 species
CCUACGGGUGGCAGCAGUAGGGAAUAUUGGUCAAUGGGCGCAAGCCUGAACCAGCGAUGCCGCGUGAGGGAUGAAGGCCUUCGGGUCGUAAAGCUCUGUUGCGAGGGAAAAAAGGUAGCUUUGGUAAACGGCUGUUGAUUGAUGGUGCCCCGCCAGAAAGUCACGGCUAACUCCGUGCCAGCAGCCGCGGUAAUACGUAGGGGGCGAGCGUUAUUCGGAAUGAUUGGGCGUAAAGGGUGCGUAGGCGGUAUGGCAAGUCUGGAGUGAAACGGAUGAGCUCAACGGAAGAAUGGCCUUUGAAACUGGAGAACUGGAGAGCAGGAGAGGGUGGGGGAACUCCAGGUGUAGCGGUGAAAUGCGUAGAUAUCUGGAAGAACACCAGUGGCGAAGGCGGCCGGCUGGCCUGUAACUGACGCUGAGGCACGAAAGCGUGGGUAGCAAACAGGAUUAGAUACCCUAGUAGUC